GACGAACGCUGGCGGCGUGCUUAACACAUGCAAGUCGAACGGAAAGGCCUGCUUUCCCUUGUGGAUUGCGGGUACUCGAGUGGCGAACGGGUGAGUAACACGUGAGUGAUCUGCCCCCAACUUGGGUAUAAGCCUGGGAAACUGGGUCUAAUUCCCGAUAGGACUGCAGGGUGGUGCCUGUGGUGGAACACGAUUUUCUAGUGGUUGGGGAUGAGCUCGCGGCCUAUCAGCUUGUUGGUGGGGUAAUGGCCUACCAAGGCGGCGACGGGUAGCCGGCCUGAGAGGGUGGACGGCCACAUUGGGACUGAGAUACGGCCCAGACUCCUACGGGAGGCAGCAGUGGGGAAUAUUACACAAUGGGCGGAAGCCUGAUGCAGCGACGCCGCGUGGGGGAUGAUGGCCUUCGGGUGGUAAACUCCUUUCGACCGCGAGGAAGCCACCUGGUUGGAAGGGUGGUGACGGUAGUGGUAGAAGAAGCACCGGCUAACUACGUG
rnacentral:rRNA from 1 species